GACGAACGCUGGCGGCGUGCCUAAUACAUGCGAGUUGAGCGAUGAAGCUUGGUGCUUGCACCAAUUUGAAGAGCAGCGAACGGGUGAGUAACGCGUGGGGAAUCUGCCUUUGAGCGGGGGACAACAUUUGGAAACGAAUGCUAAUACCGCAUAACAACUUUAAACAUAAGUUUUAAGUUUGAAAGAUGCAAUUGCAUCACUCAAAGAUGAUCCCGCGUUGUAUUAGCUAGUUGGUGAGGUAAAGGCUCACCAAGGCGAUGAUACAUAGCCGACCUGAGAGGGUGGUCAGCCACAUUGGGACUGAGACACGGCCCAAACUCCUACGGGAGGCAGCAGUAGUGAAUCUUCGGCAAUGGGCGGAAGUCUGACCGAGCAACGCCGCGUGAGUGAAGAAGGUUGUCGGGUCGUAAAACUCUGCUGGUAGAGAAGAACGUUGGUGAGAGUGGAAAGCUCAUCAAGUGACGGUAACUACCCAGAAAGGGACGGCUAACUACGUG
rnacentral:rRNA from 1 species